rnacentral:rRNA from 1 species
AAGUCGCACGAGAACACUCUAGCUUGCUAGGGUAAGUAAAGUGGCGCACGGGUGAGUAUCGCGUGGAUAAUCUACCUUCGAAUUGGGGAUAACGUUGCGAAAGCGACGCUAAUACCGAAUAACAUCCAUUAAUUUUCGGUUUUUUGGAUCAAGGGUGGCCUCUGCUUGUAAGCUACUGUUUGAAGAUGAGUCCGCGUACCAUUAGCUUGUUGGUGGGGUAAUGGCCUACCAAGGCAACGAUGGUUAGCUGGUCUGAGAGGAUGAUCAGCCACACUGGAACUGACACACGGUCCAGACUCCUACGGGAGGCAGCAGUGAGGAAUUUUGCGCAAUGGGCGAAAGCCUGACGCAGCAACGCCGCGUGAGUGAUGAAGGCUUUCGGGUCGUAAAGCUCUGUCAAGUGGGAAGAACCUGCAGUAUGUUAAUAUCAUAUUGCACUGACGGUACCACUGAAGGAAGCACCGGCUAACUCCGUGCCAGCAGCCGCGGUAAUACGGGGGGUGCAAGCGUUAUUCGGAAUCAUUGGGCGUAAAGGGCACGUAGGCGGCCUGGUAAGUCAGAUGUGAAAGCCCGGGGCUUAACCCCGGAAGUGCAUUUGAUACUGCUCGGCUUGAGUAUGGGAGAGGGAAGUGGAAUUCCUGGUGUAGAGGUGAAAUUCGUAGAUAUCAGGAGGAACACCGGUGGCGAAGGCGACUUCCUGGACCAAUACUGACGCUGAGGUGCGAAGGCGUGGGUAGCAAACAGGAUUAGAUACCCUGGUAGUCCACGCAGUAAACGUUGUUCACUAGGUGUAGCGGGUAUUGACCCCUGCUGUGCCGCAGUUAACGCAUUA